GAUGAACGCUGGCGGCGUGCCUAAUACAUGCAAGUCGAGCGAACGGACGAGAAGCUUGCUUCUCUGAUGUUAGCGGCGGACGGGUGAGUAACACGUGGAUAACCUACCUAUAAGACUGGGAUAACUUCGGGAAACCGGAGCUAAUACCGGAUAAUAUUUUGAACCGCAUGGUUCAAAAGUGAAAGACGGUCUUGCUGUCACUUAUAGAUGGAUCCGCGCUUCAUUAGCUAGUUGGUAAGGUAACGGCUUACCAAGGCAACGAUGCAUAGCCGACCUGAGAGGGUGAUCGGCCACACUGGAACUGAGACACGGUCCAGACUCCUACGGGAGGCAGCAGUAGGGAAUCUUCCGCAAUGGGCGAAAGCCGGACGGAGCAACGCCGCGUGAGUGAUGAAGGUCUUCGGAUCGUAAAACUCUGUGAUUAGGGAAGAACAUAUGUGUAAGUAACUGUGCACAUCUUGACGGUACCUAAUCAGAAAGCCACGGCUAACUACGUG
rnacentral:rRNA from 1 species